rnacentral:SRP_RNA from 1 species
GGAGGAGGAGGAGGGGAAGUUACGAAGAGGGGGCUAUGCCCUUUCUCCUCUCCUGCUCGCCUCCUAUUUAGGAAAAAAAUUUCCGCUAAAUUUAUCGGAAAAAAUUCCCCGCUAAAUUUAGCAGGGAAAUUUUUCUGUUAGAUUUAGCGGGGAAUUCUUUCCGCUAAAUUUGGCGAGGAAAAUUUCCCGCUAAAUGUAGCGGGGAAAAUUUUCCGCUAAAUUUAGCGGGGAUUUUUUCCGCUAAAUUUACCGGGGAAAUUUUUUCGCUAAAUUU